CCUACGGUGCGCAGCAGUCGAGAAUCAUUCACAAUGGGGGAAACCCUGAUGGUGCGACGCCGCGUGGGGGAAUGAAGGUCUUCGGAUUGUAAACCCCUGUCAUGUGGGAGCAAAUUAAAAAGAUAGUACCACAAGAGGAAGAGACGGCUAACUCUGUGCCAGCAGCCGCGGUAAUACAGAGGUCUCAAGCGUUGUUCGGAAUCACUGGGCGUAAAGCGUGCGUAGGCUGUUUCGUAAGUCGUGUGUGAAAGGCGCGGGCUCAACCCGCGGACGGCACAUGAUACUGCGAGACUAGAGUAAUGGAGGGGGAACCGGAAUGCUCGGUGUAGCAGGGAAAUGCGUAGAUAUCGAGAGGAACACUCGUGGCGAAGGCGGGUGCCUGGACAUUAACUGACGCUGAGGCACGAAGGCCAGGGGAGCGAAAGGGAUUAGAUACCCGGGUAGUC
rnacentral:rRNA from 1 species